UUGAAAGUAAGCUAUAAUAAGCUGUUAGAUUCAUAAUCUAAAUAAGGUUUUUUCCCUUUCAUA
rnacentral:tRNA from 1 species